CGGCGGGACAGUACAGUAACGAACCUGGACUCGAUCUACUACUGAACUUGGAUAUUGUGCUGUGUAAAUUUGCAUUGAGGAGAGUCCAUCAGCUCACUAACACGGGUGAGGGACAGGGACCAAAGAGGAGGCUCUACAACAUGAGGAAAGACGGCGAUCCUCAAGCAGUCAGUCCAUGAGCCCACGUCUUCAGGCCAGGGGCCCGAGAGGAAUUUCCAGUGACAUGGAUCAACAGAGGUCCUCAAACAGUCAGUCCAUGUGCCACGUUCCAGCCAGGGACCAAAAGGGGGGGCUUUCGUCAUGGGACCAGACAGACAUCCUCAAGCAAAAUAGAGAGAUGCAUCCAGGCCACCCACUAGGAGGUGGAAAAUCGUACGAAGAGGUGGCUGUACCUGGCAGCAGACUGAGAUGGGGUGAGGAAGAGAAGCACAGACCAAGAACGGAAUGUCAGACAUUUGCCCUUUUUUAUGCCCAGCACACACAGACACACACACACACACACACCAGCAUAUAAACAUGCACAUAGACACAGGCGCACGUGCACACACAUACACACACUCUCCAACAAGAUGAGUCUCUGGUGAUGUUGGCAAAUAAUCUGAAUCGAUACACACGGCAAUGAUUCCACCAUCGUGCCCCACCUACGCGAGUCCUGUCCUUCAGCAUUGACUUUCUCCCCAGGUGUGGUGUGCCUUCAUCCGAACCACAAUGGCAUCCCAAGCAGCAAUGCUAACCCAGUAUUAAAACUGCAAGAAACUGAUCCGGGAGUGCGGCUUUUUUACUAUACAUCCCAAGCAGCAACAAAUACCUGCACGCAUGCAUGCUACGGUACACACACAAACACACUGGACUGUGAACUAGGUCAGACACACACACAUGCUCAAAGUAGCCAAGAUCGAAAAGGCUGCAUCGGUGGCUUGACUGCAUCCAUUUUUUGGAGGAACACCUUUGUCAAUUUUGAGGAACUUUGUUGUGGGAAGAUAUUUUAAAAUGUUGAUAGUCAGACUCUUGUAUACCCAUUCGCUUCACUUUGAUGUAUUUUGUAAUUGAGAUGAUUUAUGCCACAGUGCUGAAUUAACACAUCAUGACAAAGAUGUCGCCUUAAAAAGUAUGUUUGGUACCUGUGGGUCAAAUGUCUUAGGAGCUCCCUGACUGCAGAACGUCUCAGGAAAGGACUCAACUUUUUAUAUUGUAUGCAGGGUGCGAUUUGUCAGAAAACCAGAAAGGGGGAUGUGUUUCAGAUGUCAACAAUAUCAAUGGAGUUACAUUAAACUAUGAUUAAAAUCAUGUGGAAAAAGUGACAAUAUCAAAACCAGAAGAGGGGACAAUCCCCCUACAAACCGCACCCUGAUUGUAUGUAUUUUACAUGUUUGUCUAUAUGAUUAACACAUGUUCACAGAAGAAAAUACAAUGUACGACUGCAAGGUCUUGUGCGUUUUUCUCACCGAUAUCUUAAAGGUUUAUGCGUUAUAAAAUGUUUAUUAUUUUGUUUAUUUUCUGAACGUUUUUUUUUAAUAACUCAAAGGGAUAUGUUAAGAAACGUGUUUAUCAUUUGGUUUGUUGUUUGGAAAAUUCCAUUUAAAACAUAUGAAGGGAUAUUUUAAGAAAGGCUGUGAGUUAAAAAAAAAAAAUGCAUUUUGAUAAUUUUGUUUUCUUUUCUGAAAAUUCUUGUUUAAAAUGUCAUACAAUUUCAAUUUCCAAAAUCUAUUGAAUGGAUGAAUGUUGUAGCCUACUAAAGAUAAUAAAUGGCCAAUUUGCAUGA